rnacentral:lncRNA from 1 species
CUGGUGAGCUGGGAAAGGGAAAUGCUCACUGGCUUGCUUGAAAAUCUCUGGAGCUCCAUAAAGUCCGUAUCCAUAUGAAAAACAAAGCCACGCAGUUGAGCAGGAGAUCUGGUUUGCACAAUCGUACCUAUGGAGAAGCACUCAGAGGUUGGGAGAUGGUUAUCACCAACCACGUGUCAACAUCUUCAAAACUCAUCUUGAUGUGAGUAAACUGUUGCUCAAAUAAAGCUCAGUUCCUUCCUGCUUAUUCA